rnacentral:rRNA from 1 species
UCAGCAGCCCGCGGUAAUACGGAGGGGGUUAGCGUUGUUCGGAAUUACUGGGCGUAAAGCGCGCGUAGGCGGAUUGGAAAGUUGGGGGUGAAAUCCCGGGGCUCAACCCCGGAACUGCCUCCAAAACUCCCAGUCUUGAGUUCGAGAGAGGUGAGUGGAAUUCCGAGUGUAGAGGUGAAAUUCGUAGAUAUUCGGAGGAACACCAGUGGCGAAGGCGGCUCACUGGCUCGAUACUGACGCUGAGGUGCGAAAGUGUGGGGAGCAAACAGGAUUAGAUACCCUGGUAGUCCACACCGUAAACGAUGAAUGCCAGUCGUCGGGUAGCAUGCUAUUCGGUGACACACCUAACGGAUUAAGCAUUCCGCCUGGGGAGUACGGCCGCAAGGUUAAAACUCAAAGGAAAUUGACGGA